rnacentral:tRNA from 1 species
GAAAUCUAUGGGUAUUACAACGAAACUGCUAAUUUCAACCUGUUUGCGGCUCAACUCCGUCAAGAUAUCG